rnacentral:tRNA from 1 species
UGAUAAAAUUGAAUAAAAAUUCCAAUUAGAAAUAUUUUAUAUUAAGCUGCUAACUUAAUUUAUAG